rnacentral:rRNA from 1 species
GACGAACGCUGGCGGCGUGCUUAACACAUGCAAGUCGAAUGAUGAAGCCGGAGCUUGCUCUGGUGAAUUAGUGGCGAACGGGUGAGUAACACGUGAGUAACCUGCCCUUGACUCUGGGAUAACUGCGGGAAACUGUAGCUAAUACCGGAUACGACCCUCGGAGGCAUCUCCUGGGGGUGGAAAGAAUUUCGGUCAAGGAUGGACUCGCGGCCUAUCAGCUAGUUGGUGAGGUAAAGGCUCACCAAGGCGACGACGGGUAGCCGGCCUGAGAGGGUGACCGGCCACACUGGGACUGAGACACGGCCCAGACUCCUACGGGAGGCAGCAGUGGGAAUAUUGCACAAUGGGCGCAAGCCUGAUGCAGCAACGCCGCGUGAGGGAUGACGGCCUUCGGGUUGUAAACCUCUUUUAGCAGGGAAGAAGCGAAAGUGACGGUACCUGCAGAAAAAGCACCGGCUAACUACGUGCCAGCAGCCGCCGUAA